rnacentral:rRNA from 1 species
CAGUCGCCACGGUAAUACGAAUGGGGCUAGCGUUGCUCGGAAUGACUGGGCGUAAAGGGCGCGUAGGCGGAUUGUUUAGUUAGGCGUGAAAUUCCUGGGCUUAACCUGGGGACUGCGCUUAAUACAGGCAGUCUAGAGUGAGGAAGAGGGUUGUGGAAUUCCCAGUGUAGAGGUGAAAUUCGUAGAUAUUGGGAAGAACACCGGUGGCGAAGGCGGCAACCUGGUCCUUGACUGACGCUGAGGCGCGAAAGCGUGGGGAGCAAACAGGAUUAGAUACCCCCGUAGUCCCUGUCUCUUAUAC